rnacentral:rRNA from 1 species
UACGGGGGGAGCAAGCGUUGUUCGGAUUUACUGGGCGUAAAGGGCGCGUAGGCGGUCAGCACAAGUCAGUUGUGAAAUCUCCGGGCUUAACUCGGAAAGGUCAACUGAUACUGUGCGACUAGAGUGCGGAAGGGGCAACUGGAAUUCUUGGUGUAGCGGUGAAAUGCGUAGAUAUCAAGAGGAACACCUGCGGCGAAGGCGGGUUGCUGGGCCGACACUGACGCUGAGGCGCGAAAGCUAGGGGAGCAAACAGG